ensembl:lncRNA
GGCGGCAGGAACACAAUGUUACACUGAGAAUUGACCAAACAAGCGCAAAAGGCGGUUGCAUUUUAAAACUACAUUAAUGUCAAUCCUUGAUUACACUGAUCAUUGGUUUUAAGGACCUGGCACAGCCUAACCCAGUGACUGAAAGACAACAGCUGUGUUUACAUUUUGAUUUAUUGUACAGGGGAGUAAUCCAUUAAGCAACAAUCAUGUGUCACCAUAUCUCAGUGCGGUGAUGUCUGUGUACAUUUCCAGUUUUUAUGCCCUUUUCUCUGACAUGUUUUCCUUCAGCUCAGAACAAUCCUAAGAAACUCUCUCCCUGUCCUCCACACCCCUUUCACUGGCACAUAAACUUGGGAUCACACUCUUUGCUGUGAGUAAUUGCCUAAGCCAGCACCUUCAAUUCAAAACCACCAAUGCCCUUGGGCCAGACCACACCCCUAAGAGUGUGAAGUCCUUAUGGAGACAAUAUGUGACAGGCAUUUAGCUGCACUUUGAGGACAAAUUAAGUUCUUAACUGUCUGGAAAUCAUCUCAGUUGUAUGACAGAUUAGGCUCGUUUGGCAGCUUGCGUUCUCACAUAGAACAGUGGUGUUAAAAAGAAGGGUAAGAACACAGCCAAUCAUGACAUGAUACUGAAUCAUUAACCACAGCCCCUUGUUAGGUUUAAAUGUGCCUGAUGAAUUCACUGGCUACCCUCUGCACCGUUCCAUAGUCCAGAAUUGCAGGCUCAUUCCUGAGCUGUCGAUACAUGCCCAGGAUACCGUGUCAUCCCACCGGUUGACCAUGUUAUGGUAAAGGUGGUUGUGUCUGGCAAAUGUAGGUGUGGAGCAGAUGUCUCUGUGAAUCACAUUCCACAUCACACGCGCACACACGUAGUCUCAUGCUGAUGUUCAUUGUGAACUAAAGGAGGCCAGGGUUGUUUGUCCCAUGUUCAUGCUAGGAGAGACCAGGGCUGGUUGUUCCAUGUUCAUGCUAGGAGAGACCAGGGUUGGUUGUCCCAUGUUGAUGCUAGGAGAGACCAGGGCUGGUUGUCCCAUGUUCAUGCUUGGAGAGACCAGGGUUGGUUGUCCCAUGUUGAUGCCAGGGAGCUGGCUGCAUGUGUAAAGAGAGAGUGCACCGUUAUCUUGGCUUAAAAUGC